rnacentral:rRNA from 1 species
UACGAAGGGGGCUAGCGUUGCUCGGAAUCACUGGGCGUAAAGGGUGCGUAGGCGGGUCUUAAGUCAGGGGUGAAAUCCUGGAGCUCAACUCCAGAACUGCCUUUGAUACUGGCGAUCUUGAGUCCGGGAGAGGUGAGUGGAACUCCGAGUGUAGAGGUGAAAUUCGUAGAUAUUCGGAAGAACACCAGUGGCGAAGGCGGCUCACUGGCCCGGUACUGACGCUGAUGUGCGAAAGCGUGGGGAGCAAACAGG